rnacentral:rRNA from 1 species
GUUGCGGUUAAAAAGCUCGUAGUUGGAUCUCGGCAAGUAGAGGGCGGUAUGCUUCGUAGCAUUACUGCCCUAUUACUUGUAGUUUUGCCAGAGGUUCCUGGGUGCUCUUAAUCGAGUGUCUAGGGAUGCUGGCAGGUUUACUUUGAAAAAAUUAGAGUGCUCAAAGCAGGCUAUUACGCUUGAAUAUUCGUGCAUGGAAUAAUAGAAUAGGAAGUUGUUUCUAUUUUGUUGGUUUUCGGAAAUCGACUUAAUGAUUAAUAGGGACAGUCGGGGGCAUUUGUAUUCAAACGACAGAGGUGAAAUUCUUGGACCGUUUGAAGACAAACUACUGCGAAAGCAUUUGCCAAGAAUGUUUUCAUUAAUCAAGAACGAAAGUUAGAGGUUCGAAGGCGAUUAGAUACCGCCCUAGUUCUAACCAUAAACGAUGCCAGCUAGCGAUCUGAGGACGUUUUUUUUGUAGACUCCUCAGGAAGCUUCCCGGGAAACCAAAGCGUGUGGGUUCCCGGGGGAAGUAUGGUUGCAAAGCUGAAACUUAAAGGAAUUGACGGAAGGGCACCACCAGGAGUGGAGCCUGCGGCUUAAUUUGACUCACACGGGAAAUCUCACC